GUCCAGGUGAGCAUGGCAAGGUGUUUCCUGUGGAGCCACUAACCAGUGGUUGAGCAGGCUUGUAGGGAGGUUCUGCUCCUUCCCCAGCCCUUGCCCUGCUCUGGCUCCAUCCGUGGGCAGCGUUCUCUCUGAGCUGCUGAGGUUCCUCAGCCUCCCCAUGGCAGGAAUGGAGGUGUGGAGGUCUCCUCUGGGCUCCAGCAGCAGAACAGGCUGGUGAGGGCUGGCUCCAAAGAGGUGAGACCUUCCUACACCAGUGCUGGGGAGGCAGGAGCGAGAGGAGAGCUCCAGGAGCCAUCUCAGGAGCUGAGUAGCCUCUCACAGGAUCCACGUGGUGACGUGGCAGCCAAGACGUGGAAGUUUGGGACUCCUCUUCCACCGCAGCAGAAUUUGGGGGGUGGGCAGGGGUGGGUCAGGGGGACACUGGGAGUCGCAAGACCCUUCACCUUC
rnacentral:lncRNA from 1 species